rnacentral:rRNA from 1 species
UACGUAGGUGGCCAGCGUUGUCCGGAUUCAUUGGGCGUAAAGCGCGUGUAGGCGGCCAGGUAGGUCCGAUGUGAAAUCUGGAGGCUCAACCUCCAGCGGUCAUUGGAAACCAUCUGGCUAGAGUCCGGAAGAGGAGAGUGGAAUUCCUGGUGUAGCGGUGAAAUGCGCAGAUAUCAGGAAGAACACCAAUGGCGAAGGCAGCUCUCUGGGACGGUACUGACGCUGAGACGCGAAAGCGUGGGGAGCGAACAGG